rnacentral:rRNA from 1 species
GACAGAGGGUGCGAACGUUGCUCGGAAUUACUGGGCGUAAAGCGCGUGCAGGCGGCCCUGCACGUCCGGUGUGAAAGCCCGGGGCUCAACCCCGGAAGCGCGCUGGAAACGCGGGGCUGGAGGGCUGGAGAGGCGGGCGGAAUUCCCGGUGUAGAGGUGAAAUUCGUAGAUAUCGGGAGGAACACCGGUGGCGAAGGCGGCCCGCUGGACAGCGCCUGACGCUGAGACGCGAAAGCGUGGGUAGCAAACAGG